UUUUCGGCUGGAAUGGGGAAUUUGUGAGGUAGGCCGGAAGUGGUGUUGCGGAGGGAAGUGUGGGGAGAGCAGAGGCGCAGCUCUGCUGGAGAGACCUGAGGCUUGCAGCGCUGGGCCCGGCCGGGUCGCUGCGGCUGGGCUGGAGCCAAGGUUAACUAUUUGUAACAUGUCAUCUUUCAAGGAAGCAUCUAACCAAGAUUAAGUCAAAGGCAUCUACCAGGUCCUGAAUUCUCUCCCAGAUGCACACCUUUUAAGGUCAAGGAUGCAUUCCAGGAAAGUUCUAUAAAAAUAUACCAUCAACUCCAACCUGAUAUUUGACCUAGCCAUGGAAAACCUCAUUGGCUCCUCACUGGAUCAGACCAUAAAAAUGAUCCAGGAAUGAAAAUCUAAGAUAAAUUCCCACCACUUCAAGAUGUUCUUAUACAAGUCAACAGUCUAGCAGAUCAGCCAGUCUCUUUCAUCAUCAAGCAGACAUACUCAAGGUACCAACACAGCAAAGGCACAAAAUGUCUCUAUAUCAGUAUUUUUCAUGGUAUAUGUGAGACCCAUUAGUGAGGCAUGAAAUCAAUUCUGUGAGUCACAAUGAAC
rnacentral:lncRNA from 10 species